rnacentral:lncRNA from 1 species
AGACGUUACUUGUCAAAAAGUUGGUUUAAGGUUGUUAGUUGCAGUGGCGAUUGUCUAGGAUUAUUUGUUACUAGAUUGUUUCGUGUUUCUUUCUUGUCCAAAAAACAUUGUUUUUACAAGUAGUUACCAAACCCUAUUUUACUUGGAAUCAAUGAUCGAUCGAUGUGCCAUUAUUUUAAUCCAACUCAUAAUAUCGUCAAGAAAUGUUUACAAAAAAAAAAAAAAAAAAAAAAAAUUUCGUCAAGAAAUCAAGGCACUACUAGUACUGCUUUCUUGGGACUACUUUUUUUACUGUCUUCCUUCGCUUUUAGAAGUCUG